rnacentral:rRNA from 1 species
GACACGCUGGCGGCGUGCUUAAAACAUGCAAGUCGAACGGACUUCUCAUGAAGCUUGCGAUUGAGAAGUUAGUGGCGGACGGGUGAGUAACGCGUGGGCAACCUGCCCCUGAGCCCGGGAUAACAGUUCGAAAGGACUGCUAAGACCGGAUAUACUUGCGGGGAAGCAUUUCACUGCAAGGAAAGGGAACGCUCAGGGAUGGGCCCGCGUCCCAUUAGCUAGUUGGUGAGGUAACGGCCCACCAAGGCGACGAUGGGUAGCCGGCCUGAGAGGGUGAACGGCCACACUGGGACUGAGACACGGCCCAGACUCCUACGGGAGGCAGCAGUUGGGAAUCUUCGGCAAUGGGCGCAAGCCUGACCGAGCAACGCCGCGUGAGUGAUGAAGGUUUUCGGAUUGUAAAGCUCUGUCUUCCGGGACGAUAAUGACGGUACCGGAGGAGGAAGCCACGGCUAACUACGUG